rnacentral:rRNA from 1 species
AUUGAACGCUGGCGGCAGGCUUAACACAUGCAAGUCGAACGAGUGGCGGACGGGUGAGUAAUGCUUGGGAAUCUAGCUUAUGGAGGGGGAUAACUACGGGAAACUGUAGCUAAUACCGCGUAUUAUAGGAUGAGCCCAAGGGGGAUUAGGUAGUUGGUGAGGUAAAGGCUCACCAAGCCGACGAUCUCUAGCUGGUCUGAGAGGCUGACAAGCCACACCUGGAAUUGGACACGGCCCAGCCUCCCACGGGAGGCAGCAGUGGGGAAUAUUGCGCAAAGGGGGCAACCUGGCGCAGCCAUGCCGCGUGAAUGAAGAAGGCCUUCGGGUUGGAAAGUGCUUUCGGUAGCGAGACGUUAACUACAGAAGAAGCACCGGCUAACUCCGGGCCAACAGCCGCGGUAAUAC